CUUAAAAAACAAAAGAAAAAUAAAAAGCAAAAAAAAGUACCGGAAAAGGAAUUCGUAUAGUUCUUUCCCGCCAUUCAUCAGCGUACUCCCAAUUUCUCAGAAAAUUUCACUCCCAGAAAUCUCCAGAAGCUAUCGCACUCUCCCAAAACCCUAGUUCAUCAUCAAAUCUUUCAAAAAUGGUCACUUCUUCCAAUUCCGAGUUCCUUGUGAGAAAAUUAAUCCGGAAACCCUAGUUUCAUCAACAAAUCAUUCAAAAAUGGUCAUUUCUUCCAAUUCCGAGUUCCUUGUGAGAUCAUGCUGCUGUCGAUGCGGUUCAGCUGUUUGACAUUCAGAGAUCAAGUCUUCCGUCAUCAUCUCUGACCACAACAAUCGUCCUACCAAUUGACUCCGCGUGUCCAUAAUGUGCUUACAUAGGAGAAUGAGUGGCCUUCAAGAAUUCAAUUUCGGGAAAGUUCUUCUCAACGAGUUGUUUUCUUAACGAGGGUGGACAUAGGAGCUGCGUUCGAUUCUUGCUACAAGGAGAAUUGCUUAUCCUCUUUUAAUCCUUUUCACUUGUUUAUUUUUGCGGCCAUGUUGAUGAAAUACGGCUACAUAUCACUUUUGGGGGAAAUUUUGUUUUUAUGCAAAUAAAAAUCUUGUACACAAUGCUAAUAUGUUGUAUCGAGUAUUUUUCCAUUCUAAUUAUUCUUAAUAUAGUAUCUUUCCAUUUUUAUAAAUUUAUAUCUAUUAUACAUAAAAGUAAUUAAUACCCCUUAAAAAAUUAGUUGUUUCACUGUUUGCCAACACACUAAAUUUACCAUUAAUAUUUGAAAUUUCUUAGUAGUAUAGGUGUAUAGUUAAAUUUGACUACCAUUUUAUAAAAAGUGUAAUAGUUUGAUUUUGUUUUCUAACAGUAUGGUUAAACAAAUGUUUAACAUCGAUAAAUGAAUCUUAAAAAAAAUUAAUCAGUUACAUAGUCUAACUAGACAUAUGGAGUACUUCGUAGUUGCCAGAGACGUACAAAGACAAAUAAUGUAAAUGAAGCGAAUGAUUUUGAUCGAAUUAUGUACUUCGUACUACAUAAUUUUUUAGGGAAAUUAGACCAAUUUUUUUUGUUAAUAGCCUAUUGGAACUUGCAUUUAUAGGACUGCACCCCAUCUCUCAAUUCCCGGAUCUGCUACUGCUUGCAUGAACCAAUGCUACCUCUGUAUCAUAAUAGGUCAUUGCGAGAACAACUCACACGAGAUUUUUCCUAAACGGCUAAACCUUAUGGUUGUUCAGCGCUUUUAUAAUAUGUCCAUUCAAUCUAUGUCACUUGAAUAUUACUGACUAUGCUUCUCAGUUUUAUAAAUCUUGUUGAUGAUAAGGGCUCUUCUUUUCCUACUAUUUCAAAGGUCCUAUCUGAAACAUAAGGUCAAGCCAAUGUUUUGAUGCAAAAGUUCUAGGAGUUGACAGUCAUCUGCCAGAGUACCACAGAAGUACAAUAACACAAUCUAAAUAUACGGAGUAUAAUGCAACACUUUCCAGCCUUGUUCUUUUAUGAUCUAUUUUCAGAUUUCCAACCUUUCAGUUGCAUGAAAAGUGCAGAGUAAAAGUUGUCUUGUGGAUCCCACAUAACCUGUCGAUCUGUCACUUGAUUGAUGCCACGUAUUGCCCUCGAGAUAUCUUAUGCUAACUCACUUGUGCUAAUAAAUGAAGUACAAUAAUCCAUACUAGCCUUGUGGGAUGUUCAUGCAAGAUUCCCAUGCACAGUGUUGUAUAUCAUUGUUUAAGCAGUAUUACUAGAUUUUUGUUCUAAACUAUACUUCUGGUAUGUUGCACUAAGAAUAUUCCGGGAGGAUUUUGGAGGAUGCCUGUAUCGUGGAAACAUAUUAUUGGACAAAGUGUUAUCUUUCCACCUUAAUUAAAGUGUUUAGAGGAUUUUAAACAAAUAUUAUUGAAACUGGGUUACUCCCUAAUUGGCUUACCAAUUAUGUCAAUGUCAACAAAGGUUUCUUUUUUUGUUGUUUUCUUCCUACUGCUUUUGCGCUGGAGUGGGUGGAGGAGUUUGAACAUUAUUUAUUUCCAUCAGGUUUAGCAGAUAAUAUUAACGUGUGUUGUUUGUAUUAGUGAUAGAAUUUCACUUUUAUUAGAUUAGUAUUAAUCCUUAACUAUUGUAUGAUUUGUGUUUUGUAUUAAUGUUUUGUUUGUAUUUAUGAUAGAAUUUCGCUUUUAUUUGAUUAGUAUUAACCC